GUCUGCUUAACACAUGCAAGUCGAACGGGAUGCUUUCGGGCAUCUAGUGGCGGACGGGUGAGUAACGCGUGAGAAUCUGCCCUCAGGAUGGGGACAACGACUGGAAACGGUCGCUAAUACCCAAUGUGCCGAGAGGUGAAACUUAUAUGGCCUGAGGAUGAGCUCGCGUCUGAUUAGCUAGUUGGUAGUGUAAUGGACUACCAAGGCGACGAUCAGUAGCUGGUCUGAGAGGAUGAUCAGCCACACUGGGACUGAGACACGGCCCAGACUCCUACGGGAGGCAGCAGUGGGGAAUUUUCCGCAAUGGGCGAAAGCCUGACGGAGCAAGACCGCGUGAGGGAGGAAGGCCUACUGGUUGUAAACCUCUUUUGAUAGGGAAGAACACAAUGACGGUACCUAUCGAAUCAGCAUCGGCUAACUCCGUGCCAGCAGCCGCGGUAAUACGGAGGAUGCAAGCGUUAUCCGGAAUUAUUGGGCGUAAAGCGUCCGUAGG
rnacentral:rRNA from 1 species